GCUGCGAUGGCCGAGUGGUUAAGGCGUUGGACUUGAAAUCCAAUGGGGUCUCCCCACACAUGUUUUAACCUUGCUCGAAGCG
rnacentral:tRNA from 1 species